GACGAACGCUGGCGGCGUGCUUAACACAUGCAAGUCGAGCGAGAAAGCACCUUCGGGUGUGAGUACAGCGGCGAACGGGUGAGUAACACGUGGGUAACCUGCCCCAAAGACCGGGAUAACGUUUCGAAAGGGACGCUAAUACCGGAUGUGGUGCAGUCUGCUAAGCGGACUGCACUAAAUGGUAGCUUCGGCCUCCGCUUUGGGAUGGGCCCGCGCAGCAUUAGCUAGUUGGUGGGGUAACGGCUCACCAAGGCGACGAUGCUUAGCUGGUCUGAGAGGACGAUCAGCCACACUGGGACUGAGACACGGCCCAGACUCCUACGGGAGGCAG
rnacentral:rRNA from 1 species